GGCUGACUAGUUAGCGCUUGUUUUAGUCUGUCUGUAUGUAAAUUCGGUCGAUUGAUUUGCGUCGUGUUAGGUCUGACCUCGGCACAGUGAAGCUGCUGCCACGCUGUGAAAGUGUAACCCGUGUGAAACUACGCGUGCCCUGCUGUAAAUUAUGUGUGUGCAUAAAUAUAUAUGGUAUAUCUAGGUUUGCCUGACUAAGCUCAUUGGCUGUUUGCAUCUACUGGGUGGUGUCAGCGGCAGUUCCGUUUGGCAACCAGUUCCAUUCUGCUCUCCGUUAAUUCAGCAGAAGGACAGGAAGGGCCUUGUUUUGACUGCACGUUCCUGAUGUGUAACGUCUGAAAAACUACAGCGUGCUGUGUAAAAUAUCUGCUGUUUUCAUCUACGACAGUUUCUUUGGGAGCCCUUCGCUGAAGAAAAGCUCACUCCUGGUCUCCAUUUCUUCAGCAGCAGGACCGGAAGGUCCAGGUUUGACUGCCCUUUGAGUGAGUCUUCAAUGUAUUACUCCCUCCGUUUCAAAUUACUCGUCGCACAAAUGGAUGCAUUUAGAAUUAAAAUACAUUUAGAUACAUCCAUACCUGUGACAAGUAAUUCGAAACGGAGAAAGUAGUCAUUACGGACAAGCAAGUAAUUAGCUUCUAAACUUCGCUCUGGGCGGUCAGAACUGAGCUCCUGUAACGGCGAUGCCUAAGGGAAACCCGGAGGAAACACAGGCAGCUCUGACCCGGCGUUUCCUGCUCCCAUCCUUUCUCGCUGCUUCGUUCAAGGACCAAGACAGAGAAAGAAAUUAUGAGUGAUUAAGCACUACUACGCCAGUAGCAUGUUCCUUAGAGCAUCUCCAGCCGUUGGCCCUCCGGGGGGCGUCUAAAAGCGUCGCCUGGGAGUGAGCCGGCGCAAAAAAUGGCCCUGGGGCGAGUCGGUCCCCAGCCGUCGGCCCCCAGGGCCGCCCCAGGCGCGUAUUAAAAUAAAAAAAAGGACCGUUCGACGAAGUUAUGAUAAAAACUAGUUAAAUUUCGGCAAACAUGGCAAAUUUCGGUGAAAUUCGCGCAUUUUCAUUCCAUUAACCUAAUCUAAAAAAGAAAGGGGCUGCAGUCGUCGCCGCCGUCGCCGCCAUCUUCGUCGUCGGCCUUCUCCUCCUUGACGCGGGCGCCCCUGCUGAACCCCUGCCCGGCGUCGCCAUGGCGGACUGGCGGCGGCGCGUCAUCGUCGUCGUCGCUGUCGCAUAAGACGACGACCCCGUCUUUAUCGCGGUCGCGUCGGCGCUCCUCGAAGCGGCACAGGGCGGCGCGCUGGUGCUCCUUCUCCUUCUCCCGGUGCGUCUUCUCCAUCGCAAUGGAGUCCUGACGCGCCCAUUGUAGGGCCGCGUCGUCGUCGUCGAACUCCGCCUUCACAGAGGGAGUAUUACUCAAAAUAGUUGCAAAGUGUUUUGCUAACAGACUAAGGCCACUGCUUUUCAAAUGUUUCCAAGUGGGUGUAUCGAAGAAAGCCUGACUUGAGCAAGAGGUUCUAGAAAAAAGGGAAGAAAGGGGAAAAAAUAUUACUCCCUCUGUCUCAGUUUACAAGGCUUGCACGUGUAUCUAGGUCAUCAAUUUAACUUAUAUAAAAUAAAUUGUUUAACAUAAAAAUCAUAUCAUUAGAAAAUAGAAUAUCUAAAGUUUCUAAUGAUAUAUUUUUUGUAAUGCAUACUCUUAUUAAGUUGGUUAAAUUAACAACCUAGAUACACGUGCAUGAUUUGUAAGCUGAGAUAGAGGGAGUAACACUCACAAUAUCAAUUCAAUGCCACUAAAUGCAUCAUGGAAUAAACUUUUAUGUUGUAUAUCUUUAGUAUUGUAGAUGUUGAUAUUUUUUACUUUAAAUUUGGUCAAACUUUACAACGUUUGACUUAAGACAAAUCUUAUGUGCGGAGUAAAAAGAAACCGAUGAAGUACUUUAAUUGUCCAAUAUUCCUCUUCCUAAAGAAUUGAUAUUUUAUUUUAUUUUAUUACAUACAAUGCAGAAAAGGCACAAAAUACAUAUACUUCUUGUUUGUUCUAGACUCUUCUAUACUAAUGUUCUCCUAAGUUUCGACCAGGUAAACAUUGUCCAACAAAAACUGCAUGCGAAAACUGCCUUACCUCCUGCAUGCAGAUAACCCCACCUCUUUACCCCUCAUCCAUGGCUUCCAAUAAAUACUCUGGACAACUUCCGAGGGACAACUUUCAAGAUGUUGAGAUUGUUGAAAUACAUUGCCCGUCUCUCUUCAUCAGUUCGGACUUUUGGAUGAGUUGGCUCGAGUAUGAAUUCAAUAUGGUAUCCGACCCAAGAGGUCUUGAGUUCAAGACCCUGUCAACACAGUAUUAAAUAAAAUAAUUCUGCGGUCUACAUCGAUCCCACGUCUAAGAACUAAAAUAGUCCAGACGUGAGGGGGGGGGGUGUUGAAAUAUAUUGCCCGCCUCCCUCCAUCAGUUCGGACUUUUGAAUGAGUUGGUUGGAGCAUGAAUUCAAUAGAGAUUUCAAAAUUUUGAGAAAAUUUCAAUUUUUAUGAAAAUUCAAACUUUAAAAACUGUAAACUUCUAAGAAUUUCUACAUUUGAAACUUCCAAAUGUUUUGAACUUUUGGAGUAUUUCAAACUUUCAGAAAUUAUGAAGGUUUGUAAUUUGAAAUUUCAAGCUUCCAAAAAUUUAAAUUUAAAGGUACGAGUGAUAUAGACACAGGAGGUGGGCCUCGCUGGUUUGUCACCGUCUACAUGGUGGCAAACAAAGUGUUAGAGAGAUGAAAUAAGUGUUGUGUGCGCGGGAGAUAAGGCAUGUGAGAUGAGAAGUCAAAUUGGUGGAUUUGAUGCGCAUGUGAAGGAGGCGCGAGAGUGGUGACCGUACCUGCCAAUUAGCAAAUCCACAAAAUGAAUAUUUAUAAAGAUAAGUUGAAAUGUUAUUCGCAAAUGAAAAUGUUCUCUAGCUCAAACUGUAUACUCGAUUCACAAUUGAUUUUUAACAAGCGUGGGUUUCAGUAAACAUUUUUUGCCUCGAACUCUUUUAUUACCAAGCGGUAAUGCACUAGUUACGAUUCUAUUUUACAACAAGACACCAUGAAAGCCGAUGAGUCAUUAUAGUACACAACUGCCAUGUUCACAACUAUUAGUAGAUAAUCUAAUCACUAUAUUGUCAUAGUUGCGGUAAGUAAGCAUAAUAAGAAGUAGUUACCGUUCUACUUUUGCAAAAAUUGUGACGCAAUUCAAUAAGUAAAUCACUAACAUGAGUGUAUUUUUUUAUCAUACAACAUGACAAAUACAUCACUAAGUACAACAACCAUAGAUUUUGUGCACUCUUUGUCAGAAGAAUUAAGAGUGUCAACUAGAAGGAGGGGUGAAUAUGCGACUAACAGUUUUACCAAAAAUAGUUGUCGGUGAAAUUGCAUAAUUAAGGAGUUCACUAGAAUGCAAGUCUAGUUGAACACCCCUAAAUGGUGUGAGAAUUCUAGCAAUUCUAAUAGCACACUAGGUAAAGCUAGGGUUGCCAUUGUAGAAGGAAAAAUAAUAUAAUCAACCAAGAGCACAUAGAGACAUGAUAUAGACCCGAAGUUCAAAUCCUUGGUCGAAGAGGGAGGGAAGGUUCUACGUAUCCGUUGGAGAGGCAUGGAGACCAUGUCCCAUCACCACGAAGGCCUACCCUUCUUCUUCUUGAAUUUCAGCAGAAUGUUUGAGCUCAUCUAAUAAGAAGGUGAUCUUGAGGAGCUCUAGAACCUUCGCAAACAUCUAGGGAAAAAUCCACAAGAUUGGAUGUUCCCCAGCGACUAAGACAUCCAGGAGUCCCCACAACUUCAUCAGUUACAAGCCCGGUGAAAAACUCCAAUGGGGAUCAAAGUUUUGCCCAAUCUGCGCAAACUUUUCUUCUCCUCACUUAGAUGGGAGCUUGAGUCUUUGUGGAAGAAUCUUCCUACCAUUGGGGACAUAAGGGUAUAUACAUAUGUGUCUUCAUGAAAUCUAACCCUUGGAUGUCUCUAUGCUAUCUCAGAGGCCGAGUUCAAAGUUUCGAGGGUCUGGGAGUCCUAAUCUCUCCAUAAAUUCUAGGUUAUCCAACACCUAACCUAGCAAUUCAGAGGUCCAAGCCAUUAUAGAGUUCUGGAGCUCCAAGGAUCUCUGGACUAAUUGCUAGGCUAUCAAGUGUUAAAUCUAGGUAGUUUGGAGCACAACUCAAAGUCUAGAACCACUGUAGGUCUGGGGCAUAGAGAAAACAAAAAAAAAC
rnacentral:lncRNA from 1 species